rnacentral:rRNA from 1 species
AUUGAACGCUGGCGGCAGGCUUAACACAUGCAAGUCGAGCGAGCGGAGGACGGGUGAGUAAUGUCUGGGAAAAUGCCUGAUGGAGGGGGAUCACUACUGGAAACGGUAGCUAAUACCGCAUACCAUCAGAUGUACCCAGAUGGGAUUAGCUAGUAGGUGGGGUAAUGGCUAACCUAGGCGACGAUCCCUAGCUUGUCUGAGAGGAUGACCAGCCACACGGGAAUGGUUACAUGGUCCAGACUCCUACGUGAGGCAGCAGUGGGGAAUAUUGCACAAUGGGCGCAAGCCUUAUGCAGCCAUGCCGGGUGUUUGAAGAAGGUCGUCGGGUUGUAAAGCACUUUCAGUCGGGAGGCGUGACCGACAGAAGAAGCACCGGCUAACUCCGUGCCAGCAGCCGCGGUAAUAC